GGAUCAUUAGCUCAAAUGGUAGAGCACUUGAGAAUAGUUGCACAUUAAUACUAUAUCUCUAGAGAUGGUGGUUCAAGUCCAUCAUGAUCCA